rnacentral:lncRNA from 1 species
UGACCUCUCUCUAGACACUAGACAUUACAUUCCUCCAUUGUUAACCUUGUGAACACAUAUACUGACUCUCACGCCUGAGCUAUUCCCCGACGGAACAGCCAUCAAGCUUGUGGUGUUUACCGUGUUUACUGUGCAGGAUCAGGGCGUCUUACGUGAUUGGGACGUGGCAGAAGAUCUUGGCGUUAACAUUGGCGCUAGAAGGAGGGCUUUUGAGUUCUAGUGUCAUUGAAACUUUCAAUCACAAUCGUUUAACCUACUUCGGAAGAUGAUGAGGAGUAGGGAUGGUACGCCAGAAGGGCAGGCGAUGGUUGUUAGCUCGUCACUGCUUCGUGUUUCGGUAAAGGAUCGUCUGGGUCCUUCUAAAAGUGCUCAUGAGAGCACGGCCUCUAAGCAUAAUUCAGGAGAUCUCCGUCCGAAGAUCCAUGGUGGGGCCAGACGAAGAUUGGUUUUCGGUGCGGAUAAGGAGCGUGAUCAUGGUCAAGGGCAGGCAGAAGGCUCACCGACCAAGACUUAUC